rnacentral:rRNA from 1 species
ACGGGAGGCAGCAGUGGGGAAUAUUGGACAAUGGGGGAGACCCUGAUCCAGCGACGCCGCGUGAGUGAAGAAGUAUUUCGGUAUGUAAAGCUCUAUCAGCAGGGAAGAUAAUGACGGUACCUGACUAAGAAGCCCCGGCUAACUACGUGCCAGCAGCCGCGGUAAUCCGUAGGGGGCAAGCGUUAUCCGGAUUUGCUGGGUGUAAAGGGAGCGUCGACGGCAUGGCAAGUCUGAUGUGAAAACCCGGGGCUCAACCCCGGGACUGCAUUGGAAACUGUCAGGCUUGAGUGCAGGAGAGGUAAGUGGAAUUCCUAGUGUAGCGGUGAAAUGCGUAGAUAUUAGGAGGAACACCAGUGGCGAAGGCGGCUUACUGGACUGUAACUGACGUUGAGGCUCGAAAGCGUGGGGAGCAAACAGGAUUAGAUACCCUGGUA